rnacentral:rRNA from 1 species
CUAGAUCAGAAGCGAGAAUGUUGACAUGAGCAGCGACAAAGAGGGUGAGAGACCCUCUCGCCGAAAUUCCAAGGGUUCCUGCUUAAAGCUAAUCUGAGCAGGGUGAGCCGGCCCCUAAGGCGAGGCCGAAAGGCGUAGUCGAUGGGAACUAGGUUAAUAUUCCUAGGCCAGUGGGAAGUGACGGAUCUCGAAGGUUGUCUGCCCUUAUCGGAUUGGGUGGGCCGCUUAGAGGUUCCUGGAAAUAGCCCCACAUCAGACCGUACCCUAAACCGACACAGGUGGACUGGUAGAGUAUACCAAGGCGCUUGAGAGAACCACGUUAAAGGAACUCGGCAAAAUGCCUCCGUAAGUUCGCGAGAAGGAGGCCCCAUCAGUAGGCAACUAUUGGUGGGGGGCACAAACUAGGGGGUGGCGACUGUUUACUUAAAACACAGGGCUGUGCGAAGCCGUAAGGCGACGUAUACAGUCUGACGCCUGCCCGGUGCUGGAAGAUUAAGAGGAGGGGUGCAAGCUCUGAAUUGAAGUCCCAGUAAACGGCGGCCGUAACAAUAACGGUCCUAAGGUAGCGAAAUUCCUUGUCGGGUAAGUUCCGACCUGCACGAAUGGCGUAACGAUCUCCCCGCUGUCUCUAACGUGGACUCAGCGAAAUUGAACUGUGUGUCAAGAUGCACACUUCCCGCGGUUAGACGGAAAGACCCCAUGCACCUUUACUCUAGCUUUGCACUGGCAUCAGGAUUGUGAUGUGCAGGAUAGGUGGUAGGCAUUGAAGCGGGGACGCCAGUCUUCGUGGAGCCUCCCUUGAGAUACCACCCUUCGCACUCUUGAUGUCUAACCGCGGCCCGUUAUCCGGGUCCGGGACCCUGCAUGGUGGGGAGUUUGACUGGGGCGGUCGCCUCCUAAACAGUAACGGAGGCGCGCGAUGGUUGGCUCAGACCGGUCGGAAAUCGGUCGUUGAGUGCAAUGGCAGAAGCCAGCCUGACUGCAAGUCUGACAAGACGAGCAGAGACGAAAGUCGGUCAUAGUGAUCCGGUGGUCCCAAGUGGGAGGGCCAUCGCCCAACGGAUAAAAGGUACGCUGGGGAUAACAGGCUGAUGAUGCCCAAGAGUCCAUAUCGACGGCAUCGUUUGGCACCUCGAUGUCGGCUCAUCUCAUCCUGGGGCUGGAGCAGGUCCCAAGGGUAUGGCUGUUCGCCAUUUAAAGAGGUACGUGAGCUGGGUUUAGAACGUCGUGAGACAGUUCGGUCCCUAUCUGCCGUGGGUGUAGGAGACUUGAGAAGAGUUGCCCCUAGUACGAGAGGACCGGGGUGAACGAACCACUGGUGGACCAGUUAUCGUGCCAACGGUAGUGCUGGGUAGCUAUGUUCGGACAGGAUAAACGCUGAAGUCAUCUAAGCGUGAAGCCCCCUUCAAAACAAGGUCUCCCUUGAGAGCCGUGGAAGACCACCACGUCGAUAGGCCGGAGGUGUAAGUGCAGCAAUGCAUUCAGCUGACCGGUACUAAUUGCC